rnacentral:rRNA from 1 species
CCACCCUCCAAGCCUAAGUACUCCUCAACGACCGAUAGCGAACCAGUACCGUGAGGGAAAGGUGAAAAGUACCCCGACGAGGGGAGUGAAACAGUUCCUGAAACCGAACGCCUACAAUCAGUUGGAGGGGCAUAAGCCCUGACAGCGUACCUUUUGUAUAAUGGGUCAUCGACUUGGUCUAUCUAGCAAGCUUAAGCCGUUAGGUGUAUGCGAAGCGAAAGCGAGUCUUAAUAGGGCGUUGAGUUAGAUGGAUCAGACCCGAAACCGAGUGAUCUAGGCAUGACCAGGAUGAAGGUAAGGUAACACUUACUGGAGGUCCGAACCCACACCUGUUGAAAAAGGUCGGGAUGAGUUGUGCCUAGGGGUGAAAGGCCAAUCAAACUCGGAGAUAGCUGGUUCUCCGCGAAAUCUAUUUAGGUAGAGCGUCAUCCGAAUACCCCGGGGGGUAGAGCACUGGAUGGGUAAUGGGGCCCCACAGGCUUACUGAUCCUAACCAAACUCCGAAUACCCGGGAGUACUAGAUGGCAGACACACUGCGGGUGCUAACGCCCGUAGUGGAGAGGGAAACAACCCUAACCUCCAGCUAAGGCCCCUAAUUCAUGGCUAAGUGGGAAAGCAGGUGAGACGGCCAAAACAACCAGGAGGUUGGCUUAGAAGCAGCCAUCCUUUAAAGAUAGCGUAACAGCUCACUGGUCUAAAUAAGCUGUCUUGCGGCGAAGAUGUAACGGGGCUCAAGCCAUGAGCCGAAGCUGAGGACAUCGUAAGAUGUGGUAGCGGAGCGUAGUGUGAUAUAGCACCACUCCUCUUUAGUAUCCCGUGAGGGAUGCAUUAGAGGAAUAGGUGUUUUCUGUGAAGCCGGGCUGUAAGGCAUCCGGUGGAGAGAUCACUAGUGAGAAUGAUGACAUGAGUAGCGACAAAGAGUGUGAGAGACACUCUCGCCGAAAAUCCAAGGGUUCCUGCUUAAAGCUAAUCUGAGCAGGGUAAGCCGGCCCCUAAGUCGAGGCAGAAAUGCGUAGACGAUGGGAACCAGGUUAAUAUUCCUGGGCCAGGAAGAUGUGACGGAUCGUGAAGGUUGUUCACCCUUAUUGGAUUGGGUGGGCCGCUAAUCGGUUCCUGGAAAUAGCCUUCCAUAAGAUCGUACCCUAAACCGACACAGGUGGACUGGUAGAGAAUACCAAGGCGCUUGAGAGAACUAUGUUGAAGGAACUCGGCAAAAUACCUCCGUAAGUUCGCGAGAAGGAGGCCCAGUUUCUACGCAAGUAUUGGCUGGGGGCACAAACCAGGGGGUGGCGACUGUUUACUAAAAACACAGGGCUCUGCGAAGUCGCAAGACGACGUAUAGGGUCUGACGCCUGCCCGGUGCCGGAAGGUUAAAAGGAGGUGUGAGAGCUCCGAAUUGAAGCCCCGGUAAACGGCGGCCGUAACUAUAACGGUCCUAAGGUAGCGAAAUUCCUUGUCGGGUAAG